AAGCUGAUUGGCUCCGCCAUCUUUUGCUCAGAUUUCCGGAUUAAUAUGGAAGGGGUAAACAGAUGAUCAGUUGUUUAUUUUUCGUUUACUUUACUCUGGUUUAGUGGUUUAACCUCACUUAACUAGAUAGAGUGAAAUAUUAAAUUACUAUUACUAUUAUUAUUCAGGUUGAAAAAUGCCUUCCUGUAAGGUAAAAGGUUGCGAAGUCGAUUGGGGAAAAAUAAUGUGAAAAUGAAUUCUUUCCCAAAAGAAUCUGAACGACGGAAAGUGUGGAUUAAAAAUAUAUAGGGUUAAAACAAGAUCCAAACAAAUAUGCUGUUGUUUGUGAAAAAAACUGUAAAUAGUAUUUAAGGCAACGAUUGUGAAUGAGUGAGAAGUCUAAUAAAGCCACGACGAGAUACUGUAUUAGAGCGUACGAUUUGGAGGUAUUUUUGAUUAGAUAAAUUUUGUAAAGUACAAUAUAAGUUAGAUUUGAUAAUGUGUAGUAUUUCCUAAUAAAUUAAAUACUAUUAAGUGUUUAUUGUUCUUGUAAGUUAGUGUGGUAAAUAAAUAAUAUGAAGUAAG